rnacentral:rRNA from 1 species
CUGAGUUUGAUCCUGGCUCAGAACGAACGCUGGCGGCAGGCUUAACACAUGCAAGUCGAACGCAUCCUUCGGGGUGAGUGGCAGACGGGUGAGUAACGCGUGGGAAUCUACCCAUCCCUACGGGAUAGCUCCGGGAAACUGGAGAUAAUACCGUAUACGUCCUCCGGGAGAAAGAUUUAUCGGGGAUGGAUGAGCCCGCGUUGGAUUAGCUAGUUGGUGGGGUAAUGGCCUACCAAGGCGACGAUCCAUAGCUGGUCUAAGAGGAUGAUCAGCCACAUUGGGACUGAGACACGGCCCAAACUCCUACGGGAGGCAGCAGUGGGGAAUAUUGGACAAUGGGCGCAAGCCUGCAUCCAGCCAUGCCGCGUGAGUGAUGAAGGCCCUAGGGUUGUAAAGCUCUUUCAGUGGGGACGAURRAGACGGUACCCACAGAAGAAGCCCC